ensembl:lncRNA
GGGGAACGAGGCCUCCGAGGCCCCUCAUGGCCACCAACUGUGGCCACCUGCACCUGCCGUGAAAUCAGCCCGGCCCAGUGGCCCCAGGACCUGAGAACUGAGUGCCCUGCAGCUUAUAAACUAACAAAAUUGGCUGAGCAAGAACUUGCCUGAAGGGUUGGGCAGGGGGUGUCCGAGCUCUGGGUGGACGUGGGGCACCUUGUCACUAAUUCGUAGCUCGGUCACUUAGGUUCACCCACCGCAGCCCCAACCUACAGCCCGACCCACCCAAAGGAGGAAGAAAUAAGAGGGCAAGUGUGAGGAAAGCAUUUUACAGCUCUUUAAUAACUGUUUUGCUAGGUUCUGUUUCUUCUGUUCAAAGUAUGUUAUAAAAAUAUUCUGCAAUUAAAGAAAGAAAAAAAAAACAGGAAAGUCCUUUUAAAAACAGGUUUGAGGUAAAGAACAGGUUGAUCCUAUCAGCUCGGGGAAAACACCUCCCGCAGCAAAAGUCCGUGACCAGCUGUGUUUGCACUCGCUGGGGAGAGGGAGGGGGCAGCGAGGUCACGGGGGAUGGCGCCCCGAGGUCUGAGGGCAGCUCUCUGUCCUGUCCCUCCAGCGCUGUCGCUAGGAGCCAGAGUCACUCACACCACAGCUUCCAUCCUCCGUGAUCUGGUCUGCACAAGCACUCCAUCCUGCAGUUAGUCCAGCCCUGCAAACGGAGCCCGAGUCAGGACGGACCCAACCUGGCCUUUCAGGACCCGGCCUCUGCAGGUAAAUCCUGCCUUUCACCUCCUGCCACCCUUCUCCAAGAUGUCUGUGGGACAUGGCUACUGCGAACUCCUGUUGGAGGAGAAAUGGCCUAGACAUACAGGGGAUUCUGUUCUUAUCCUCAACUCCUCUCUCCCAACUCCUGAAAGAGGGUGAUGGUCCCUGCACAGAGCCCUGGGACCUGCAGUGACUUCUCUGGAGGAGUAUCCUUCCCCACCACACUGAUUUGGCCACCCAGUGACUUGCCUAGGGCAGCGGCAGGUGGGAGCAGGUGCGUUCAGAGCCAGCGUUGGUUCCUGCCAGCUCUCUCAUUCUUUUCCCUUCCCUGAGAAAGGCAUGACCCACACUGGGGCUGCUCUCUCAGUCAGGGGCCCAGACUGAGAAGACAUGUGGGGCAGAGCCCAGAGGACCACAGCCACCAACAUGUAACACACCUGCGGGAUAAACUGCUAUGUUUUAAGACGCAGAGAUGAGGGGCGGUUUGUUCCUGCGGCCUUAACUAGCAAAAGCUGACGGACAUAGGCCUUGUCCUCCUCCGAGUCCUCCACAGUAAUGUCUCUUCUCCGCUUGCCUCAAGCCUGUAGCCAGAGAAUCCUGCUCUGCUCCCCUUGUUUUGGGCAGAGUCCUCGCUUUACCUGCGAUCCCGCUCAGGUCCAACUGCUGGUGCUGGAGUAGACUUCAAGGUGACCGCUCACCCCCCAGGAGGUGGAGCAAGAACCCUCCACCCUCAGCAUCCCCUCAGCCAGACCAGCACGUGGGCCCGGAGAGAAGGAAUCCGAGCACACGCCUCUCACCCCCUGCCACCCUUACCCUGCUUCCUCCAUGGUCCCUCGUGGGGAAGGAGUGGCUCUGCACUUCCUGUUUGCCAUUACCUGAGCCCUUGCCACCUGGGGAGUGAUAAACUUUGUGAUCUCAUCAGCCAAGCCUGGACUUCCAUAUGCUACCGGAGGAUCUCUGUCAACAAUCCCCCUAUUUCCGCAAAGCCUGGACUUCCAUACCAUCAUCUCCAUAACGAGGUCAAAAAAGUCAGCUUGGAGUCCCGAGGAUGACCACUUCCCACCCCUUCCCUGUGGCAAUGUCUGAUGGCUCAUCCUCUGAGACGGCAGCUGCAAGAAAACGUGAAUGAAAGGGUGAUUUUAAAAAGGAAUCCGUUCAAAUAGUUAAGAUGAUGAUGAAAUGGACGCUCAGUGAAGGUACACGACUUGCCCAAAGGCAGGCGAUGAAUGUUUGGACUGGCACUGAAAUGGAGGUCUUUUGACUUCAAGUCUAGACUUUUCCAUUCAACUUUAGGCCUCAAUUCCCUCACUUUCAAAAUGAAGAAAUGAAUUUGGAUGAUUUCUAAUGAAGUGCUGUCCAGUAGAAACAGAAUCCGUGCCCCAUAUGUAAUUUUACGUUUUCCAGUCUUCACUUUUUUCAAAAAGGAGAAAGCAACAGCAAAGAACUGUCUCCAGCGACCAUCCCCAGUAGAAAAGUGGUUUUUGCUUCGAUCCAUCACAAAGCACCACUGCCAUCUGGUGGCAGGAUCUUGAAUUGCAAGCAAAUUCCCCAAGAUUAAAUACGCUCUAGGAAAGUGAUUCUCAAAGCGUGUUCUACUGAUAGCCUCCAAUUUACCAUGCGAGCUUCUUUAAAAUGCACAUUGCUGGGUCCCAUUGAAUCUGAAUCUCCAGGAUAGACUACAAACACCCACAUUUCAAAUAAAUUUCCCAAGUGAUCUUCAUGCAUACUCAAAUUUGAAAAUCAUUGAUCUAAAGAACAUGCCUACAUGGUGCAACCACAGAAAACUCGGAGACAGUCAGUAUCAAGGGCGGACUCAUUUUUCUGUGAUGCUGCUCUGAUAUUUUGAAGACUGCUGCUUUCUCUUUGUAGUCUGAUGGGUUCUAUGGAGUUGUGUUGUUUCU